UUUUUCCUUUUUUUUUUUUUUUUUUUUAAAUGGUUUCCUUUGCUGUGCAAAAGCUUUUAAGUUUAAUUAGGUCCCAUUCAUUUAUUUUUGUUUGUUUUCAUUAUUGUAGGAGGUGCAUCAAACAAGAUAUUGUUGCAAUUUAUGACAAAGAGUAUUCUGCCUGUGUUUUCCUCUAGGAGUUUUAUGGUAUCUGGCCUUAUGUUUAGAUCUUUAAUCCAUUUUGAGUUUAUUUUGUGUAUGGUGUUGGAGAAUGUUGUAAUUUCAUUCUUUUACACUUACCUGUCCAGUUUUCCCAGCACCACUUACUGAAGAGACUUUCUUCCAUUGUAUGUUCUUGCCUCCUUUGGCGUAGGUUAGCUGACCAUAGGUGCUUGGAUUUAUUUCUGGACUUUGUUUUGUGUUUUUUGUUUGUUUUAGGUUUGUUUUUUUUGUUUUUUUGUUUUUUUCAUCUUUUGUCUUUUUAGGGCUGCACCCGUAGUAUAUGGAGGUUCCCAGGCUAGGGGUCACAGAUGUGGCUUGGAUCUGGCGUUGCUGUGGCUGGCAACAACGGGAACUCCAAAAUUUUAACUAUUUUUAAGUACAUAGUUAAAUAGUACUAAAUAUGUUCACAGUAUGUGCGAAAGAUCUACAGAGCUAUUUUACCUUGCAAAACUGAAACUGUACCCUUGAGGACCAUCUCAUUUUCUUCCCUCCAGUGCUUGGUAACCACCAUUCUUCUUUCUGAGUCUGUGAGAUUGACAGCUUUACAUACCACAUUUGAGUGGAAUCAUACAGUCUUUUGUGACUGGCUUAUUUCAUUUAACAUAAUGACUAGUCUCAAGGUUCAUGUAUGUUGUAGAAUGCAGGAGAAUUUCUCCUGAAUACAGGAGAUUCGAAUCUGAAUACAGUUUCUGGAUGUGCUUAAGACAACAUUUUUGUUAUCCAUUUCUCCAUCAGUAGACACUCUGGUUGCUUCUACUUGGAUAUCAUGAAUAAUGUGGUGAACAUGGAUGUGCCAGUAUUUCUUUGAGGUCUUAUUUUUUUAUAAUGAUUUUUAUUUUUUCUAUUAUAGUUGGGUUAGUAUUCUGUUAGUUUUCUACUGUACAGCAAAGUAACCCAGUCUCACACACACACAUAUAUACACAUUCUUUUUCUCACAGUAUCCUCCAUCUUGCACCAUUGCAUGUGACUAGAUGCAGCAGGAUCUCAUUGUUUAUCCACUCCAAUGCAAUAGUUUGCAUCUAUUAACCCCAGAUUUCUAGUCCAUCCCACUCCCUCCCCAUCCUCCUUGGCAACCACAAGUCUGUUUUCUAAGUCCAUGAGUUUCUUUUCUGUGGAAAGGUUCAUUUGUGCAUAUAUUAGAUUCCAGAUACAAGUGAUAUCAUACGGUAUUUGUCUUUAUCUCUGACUUACUUCACUUAGUAUGAGAGUCUCUAGUUCCAUCCAUGUUGCUGCAAAUGGCAUUAUUUUAUUCUUUUUUAUGGCUGAGUAGUAUUCCAUUGUGUAUAUAUACCAUAUCUUCUUAAUCCAUUCCUCUGUCAGUGGACAUUUGGGUUGUUUCCAUGUCUUGACUGUUGUGAAUAGUGCUGCAGUGAACACAGAGGUGCAUGCGUGUUUUUCAAGGAAAGCUUUGUCUGGAUAUAUGCCCAAGAGUGGAAUUGCCAGGUCAUAUGGUAGUUCUAUGUAUAGAUUUCUAAGGUAUCUCCAUACCGUUUUCCAUAGUGGUUGUACCAGUGUACAUUCCCACCAACAGUGCAGGAGGGUUCCCUUUUCUCCACAGCCUCUCUAGCACUUGUUAUUUGUGACCUUAUUAAUGAUGGCCAUUCUGACUGGUGUGAGGUGGUAUCUCAUAGCAGUUUUGAUUUGCAUUUCUCUAAUAAUCAGUGAUGUUGAGCAUUUUUUCAUGUGCUUUUUGGCCAUCAGUAUAUCUUCUCUGGAGAAAUGUCUAUAUAGGUCUUUCGCCUGUUUUUCAGUUGGGUUGUUGGCUUUUUUUGCUGUUGAGUUGUAUAAGUUGCUUGUAUAUUUUAAAGAGUAAGCCCUUGUCAGUUGCAUUGUUUGGAACUGUUUUCUCCUAUUCCAUAGGUUGUCUUUUUUUUUUUUUUUUAUGGUUUCCUUGGCUGUGUAAAAGCUUAUCAUUAAGUCUUUAAGCUAUUUUGAGUUUAUUUUUGUGCAUGGUGUGAGGGUGUGUUCCAAUUUGAUUGAUUUCCAUGCAACUGUCCGGUUUUCCCAGAACCAUUUCCUGAAGAGACUUUUUCCCAUUUUAUAUUCUUGCCUCCUUUGUCUAAGAUUAAUUGACCAUAGGUGUCUGGGUUUAUUUCUUGGUUCUCUGAGAUCUUAUUUUGAAUUCUUUUGGGUUUAUAUGCAGAAAUGGAAUUACUGGAUCAUAUAUGAUAAUUCUAUGUUUGAUUUUUGGGAGAACUUCCAUACUGUUUUCCAUAGUCUCUCCACUACUUUAUAUUCCCAGCAGUGCACAAAUUUUCCAGUUUCUCCACAUCCUCUGCAACAGUUGUUAAUUUUUUAUUUUUUGAUAGUGGCAAACCAGAUGGGUGUGAGGAAUUAUCUUGUGGGUUUGAUUUACAUUUCUCUAAUGAUGAGUGAUUUUGAGCAACUUGUCAUAUGCUUGUUGGCCAUUUGUGUUUCUUCUCUGGAGAAAUGUCUAAUCAACUAAUCCACAUUCUCUUAUUUUAAUGUUUUUAAAUUGAGCCAUUCUUGAAUUCCUGAGAUUAAAUAUUACUUGGACAUAAUGGACUUGUUAUUUUAAUGUGUUGUUAAAUUAUACUUACUCUUUUUUGUGGUUGUUGUUUGCUUUUUAGGGUGGCACCCAUGGUAUAUGGAAGUUCUCAGGCUAGGGGUCUAAUCAAAGCUGUAUCUUCUGACCUACACCACAGCUCACGGCAACACCAAAUCCUUAACCCACUGAGGGAGGCCAGGGAUCAAACCCACAUCCUCAUGAAUCCUAGUCAGGUUCAUUAACUGGUGAGCCAUGAAGGAAACUCUCUACUUACUCUUUUUUUUUUUUUUUUUUUUUUUUUUUUAUUUUCCCACUGUACAGCAAGGGGGUCAGGUUAUCCUUACAUGUAUACAUUGCAGUUACAGUUUUUUCCCCCACCCUUUCUUACUUAUUCUUUUCUGUUGAUUUUCAAUCUCUUGUAAAAGAGAUUGUUCUUUAGUUUUGCUUUUUAGUUGUUUUUCAUUAUCACCAAUUUUUAUUUACUUAUUUCUAGAGGUUAUUACCUUAUAGGGAUGAGUUAGGAAGCUCUUUAUUUUCUUAACUGUGAGCGGUUUAUUUAACCUUGAAUUUUGUUUUUGAAAAGAAAAGUUUCAUCAGUUAAAAGAAAAAAUAUGAAUAUUUAAAAUUAACUCAUCCAAAAACUGUAUAGUCACAGAUUGGAUUAAGAAGAUCCCAAACUGCAAUCAUAAGUGGUUUGCAAGAGACACAUUUCAAGCAAAAGCGGUAGCGAGGCAGUGGGUGCAGGGAGAACUCCAGGAUGUGAGCAGAGAUUAAAUUCUUAAAGGAAAAAAAAAAGGUGGUAAUGCCACAGUGAUUUUAAAAUAAAAACUGAGACACCAAAAAGUCCAUGGUGAAGAUACACCAAUAAAACAUAUUUGCCGAAUAUCACAACUAUACAAUAUAUAAAAAACAAAAUCAAGAUAUCCAAGGAGAAAUGAACAAAUAGUGCUAUUGUGGAAACAUAAAUGCUUUGUGAUCAGUUAUGUGGCAGAUUGUGUAAACUAAACAGGCGGCAAAAUGGAGAGAGAAUAGACAGCGACAGACCAAAAACUCUUAAGUACAAGAUCACCCCUUCUCUGCAUGUGGGAAUCAGUGAGUCUCCUCUCGUGCCUUCUCACUUGAAAGGAGUCAGUGGUUAUUUCUCUCAUCACAGAGUGUCCAUGCAGUUGGAGGGGAACACUCUGCAGGAGCCCCUCCCCUCAGCAGUCUUGUUCUCAAAGGCAAAUUUAUGGAAUGUUCAACCAUCAUGCUUCAGUAAAUUAGUUGAAUUUAACCAGUGUCUUAGAACUAGUUGAACCUAUGUUCUCUUUUGUUCAAUUUUUAUAAUUUGAAUUAUCAAAAUUUUUUACUUUAGUAAUAUACAUAAGUAUAGGAGUUUCCGUUGUGGCUCAGCAGGUUAAGAAUCUGACAUAGUGCUCAUGAGAAUGCAAGUUUGAUCCCUGGCCUCUGCUCAGUGGGUUAAGAAUCCAGCAUUGCCACAGGCUGUGGUGUAUGUGGCUCAGAUCCAGUGUUGCUAUGGCAUAGGCUGGCAUUUGCAGCUCCAAUUUGACCCCUGUCCUGGGAACUUCCAUAUGCUGUGGAUGCAGCCCUGAAAAGAAAAAAAAAAAAUUUUUUUAAUAUAUAGGAGUUCCCUUCGUGGUGCAGCAGAAAGGAAUCCGACUAGGAACCAUGAGGUUGCAGGUUCGAUCCCUGGCCUCGCUCAGUGGGUUAAGGAUCCAGCGUUGCUGUGAGCUGUGGUAUAGGUCGCAGAUGUGGCUUGGCUCUGGUGUUGCUGUGGCUCUGGCAUAGGCUUGUAGCCUGGGAACCUCCAUAUGCCGCAGGGUACAGCCCU
rnacentral:lncRNA from 1 species